rnacentral:rRNA from 1 species
ACGAAGCUGGAAUCGCUAGUAAUCGCGGAUCAGCACGCCGCGGUGAAUACGUUCCCGGGCCUUGUACACACCGCCCGUCACACCAUGGAAGUCUGCAAUGCCCGAAGCCGGUGGCCUAACCACUUAUGUGGAAGGAGCCGUCUAAGGCAGGGCAGAUGACUGGGGUGAAGUCGUAACAAGGUAGC